rfam:Tupaia chinensis contig216151, whole genome shotgun sequence.
GUGCUUGCUUCAGCAGCACACAUACUAAAAUGGAAACAACACAGAAAAUUAACACAGCUGCUGUGCAAGAAUGACAUGCAAAUUCCUAAAGUGCUCCAAGCUUAA